AUGAGUUCAUGCCCUCACGGGUAGACCUCCCACCCUUGAUAAUUAUACAUUUGUUGCUUUGGCGGGUCGCUUUAGCCUCUGACUUUGGUUGGAGAGUGCCCGCCAGAGGACCCCAAACUCUGAAUUAUAGUGUCGUCUGAGUACUAUACAAUAGUUA
rnacentral:misc_RNA from 1 species